GAAACCGUGUGCUUACAAGUAGUCAGAGCCCGUUAAUGGGUGAUGGCGUGCCUUUUGUAGAAUGAACCGGCGAGUUACGAUUUGAUGCAAGGUUAAGCAGUAAAUGUGGAGCCGUAGCGAAAGCGAGUCUGAAUAGGGCGUUUAGUAUUUGGUCGUAGACCCGAAACCAGGUGAUCUACCCUUGGUCAGGUUGAAGUUCAGGUAACACUGAAUGGAGGACCGAACCGACUUACGUUGAAAAGUGAGCGGAUGAACUGAGGGUAGCGGAGAAAUUCCAAUCGAACCUGGAGAUAGCUGGUUCUCUCCGAAAUAGCUUUAGGGCUAGCCUCAAGUGAUGAUUAUUGGAGGUAGAGCACUGUUUGGACGAGGGGCCCCUCUCGGGUUACCGAAUUCAGACAAACUCCGAAUGCCAAUUAAUUUAACUUGGGAGUCAGAACAUGGGUGAUAAGGUCCGUGUUCGAAAGGGAAACAGCCCAGACCACCAGCUAAGGUCCCAAAAUAUAUGUUAAGUGGAAAAGGAUGUGGCGUUGCCCAGACAACUAGGAUGUUGGCUUAGAAGCAGCCAUCAUUUAAAGAGUGCGUAAUAGCUCACUAGUCGAGUGACACUGCGCCGAAAAUGUACCGGGGCUAAACAUAUUACCGAAGCUGUGGAUUGUCCUUUGGACAAUGGUAGGAGAGCGUUCUAAGG
rnacentral:rRNA from 1 species